AGAUGACUACAUGCUUCCUCUGGUCGAGAAAAUCCACCCCUCUCUGGCCAGUAAGAUCACAUGGAUGCUAAUAGAGGGAGAGAACAACUUUGAAAUCAUGAAUAUGAUUAGUGUUCCUGAGCUCCUGCGUGCCAGGGUACAUGAAAUGGACUCCCUACUGAAGGCACGAGAAUCUGGUCACAAGCCGGAAACCCUGAAGAUGAUGUACAGACACAAGACCAGCAGAAAC